AUUGAACGCUGGCGGCAGGCCUAACACAUGCAAGUCGAGCGAGCGGCGGACGGGUGAAUAAUGUAUGGGGACUGCCCGAUAGAGGGGGAUAACUACUGGAAACGGUGGCUAAUACCGCAUACUAUCGGAUAACCCAUAUGGGAUUGGCUAUUAGGUAGGGUAAAGGCUUACCUAGGCGACGAUCUCUAGCUGGUCUGAGAGGAUGAUCGGCCACACGGGGACUGAGACACGGCCCAGACUCCUACGGAGGCAGCAGUGGGGAAUAUUGCACAAUGGGCGAAAGCCUGAUGCAGCAACGCCGCGUGUAUGAAGAAGGCCUUAGGGUUGUAAAGUACUUUCAGCGGGGAGGCGUUACCUGAACAAGAAGCACCGGCUAACUCCGUGCCAGCAGCCGCGGUAAUUC
rnacentral:rRNA from 1 species